UACGUAGGGACCGAGCGUUGUCCGGAAUCAUUGGGCGUAAAGAGCGUGUAGGCGGCCACUUAAGUCCUGCGUGAAAUCUUGCGGCUCAACCGCAAGCGGUCGUGGGAAACUGGGUGGCUAGAGUGCGGGAGAGGAGAGUGGAAUUCCUGGUGUAGCGGUGGAAUGCGCAGAUAUCAGGAGGAACACCGGUGGCGAAGGCGGGUCUCUGGGCCGUAACUGACGCUGAGGAGCGAAAGCGUGGGGAGCGAACAGG
rnacentral:rRNA from 1 species